rnacentral:rRNA from 1 species
GCAAGUCGAACGCGAACGAAAUCCUUUGGGGUUUUCAGUAGAGUGGCGGACGGGUGAGUAACGCGUAGAUAAUCUACCUUUAAGUGGGGGAUAGCCCCGGGAAACCGGGAUUAAUACCGCAUGUGGAUCUUCGGAUCUAAAGAUGGCCUCUGUUUCAAGCUGUUGCUUAAAGAUGAGUCUGCGUCCUAUUAGCUAGUUGGUGAGGUAACGGCUCACCAAGGCGAUGAUAGGUAGGCGGCCUUAACGGGUGGUC